UACGGAGGAUCCGAGCGUUAUCCGGAUUUAUUGGGUUUAAAGGGUGCGUAGGCUGCCCGAUAAGUUAGAGGUGAAAUCCACGGGCUUAACCUGUGAACUGCCUCUAAUACUGUCGGGCUAGAGAAUAGUUGCAGAUGGCGGAAUGUGUAGUGUAGCGGUGAAAUGCUUAGAUAUUACACAGAACACCGAUUGCGAAGGCAGCUGUCUAAGCUAUAUCUGACGCUGAGGCACGAAAGCGUGGGGAGCAAACAGG
rnacentral:rRNA from 1 species